GCUUGUCUCAAAGAUUAAGCCAUGCAUGUCUUAGUGUAAAUAACUCUUAUGAAACUGCGAAUGGCUCAUUAAAUCAGUUAUCAAAUACGUGAUGGUCGCCUACUACAUGGAUAACCGUAGUAAUUCUAGAGCUAAUACAUGCGUCAAACGUCGACUUCUGGAAGACGUGUAUUUAUUAGAUAAAAAACCAAUUCCGCAAGGAUUUUUUGGUGAUUCAUAAUAACUGUUCGGAGCCCAUGGUCUUGCACUGGGGCCAGGUCAUUCAAAUUUCUGCCCUAUCAGCUUUCGAUGGUAGUGUAGUGGACUACCAUGGCUUUAACGGGUGACGGAGAAUUAGGGUUCGAUUCCGGAGAGGGAGCCUGAGAAACGGCUACCACAUCCAAGGAAGGCAGCAGG
rnacentral:rRNA from 1 species